UACAGAGGGGGCAAGCGUUAUUCGGAAUUAUUGGGCGUAAAGGGCGCGUAGGCGGCUUGGCAAGUGGAUGGUGAAAUCCCUCGGCUUAACCGGGGAACUGCGUCUGAUACUGGAUGGCUUGAGUUUGGGAGAGGGACGCGGAAUUCCAGGUGUAGCGGUGAAAUGCGUAGAUAUCUGGAGGAACACCGGUGGCGAAGGCGGCGUCCUGGACCAACACUGACACUGAUGAGCGAAAGCCAGGGGAGCAAACGGG
rnacentral:rRNA from 1 species